UACGUAGGGCGCAAGCGUUGUCCGGAAUUAUUGGGCGUAAAGAGCUCGUAGGCGGUUUGUCACGUCGGCUGUGAAAACCCGAGGCUCAACCUCGGGCCUGCAGUCGAUACGGGCAGACUAGAGUGCGGUAGGGGAGACUGGAAUUCCUGGUGUAGCGGUGAAAUGCGCAGAUAUCAGGAGGAACACCGGUGGCGAAGGCGGGUCUCUGGGCCGUAACUGACGCUGAGGAGCGAAAGCGUGGGGAGCGAACAGG
rnacentral:rRNA from 1 species